AGAAGUCGCCCCCUUGUUCCUUGUGUCUGUCGUGUGCCUUCUUCGCCCCUUUGUUCUUGUUAUAACCCCCACACGAACACGUGAAAGGUUUCAGUAACGGGGGUGACGCCAAGCGAAACAUCAGAUUCGAAGUUUGAAAUACAUUCAGUUCUAACCUCAUUGUGUUUCUAGGUAUCGUGGUUGUAUAGCUUGCAGGCGUGACCUCGUUUGUGAAAACAACACGCAUCACGUGAUUGUUCGUUCGGAUAUUCGUAACUGGAAUACGAGGUUGGACGACAAUGGACUUCGUGUUUGUGAAUCUCAGCGCUGUUUUAAGUUUAACGUCAAAGAACCUUCUAGUGAAUUAAGAAAGACACGAAAGUUUCUGCUGUCCAAUUGUUGACAUCAAAUAAGCGAUCCAGUGAAUCUUUUAUCUGAAUAAUAAGACUUAACGUGGUUUUACACAGUUCCCACCAGGUUGCGGAAAUCUGAACAAAAGGUAAAGAAUAGUGACUGAACAGGAAGAAAUUUAUUUGCAACACACGAUGCCACACUCGCAGCCAUCAACAGAUUCGUCACAACAAAACCUGGACAACCCUGACACGAACUUACUUUCAGCGUUUUACACCGAAUGAAUUGAUAUCACGUCUAACACUGCCUCGCCCAGCUAAUAUUCAGCAAUAGUUUUUUGUUCUAUAAUAAAUGUUUAUGACUUA